AUACGUAGGUGGCAAGCGUUGUCCGGAAUUAUUGGGCGUAAAGCGCAUGUAGGCGGUUUGGUAAGUCGGUCGUGAAAAUGCGGUGCUAACGCCGUAUGGCGAUUGAAACUGCUGAACUUGAGUGCAGGAGAGGAAAGGGGAACUCCCAGUGUAGCGGUGAAAUGCGUAGAUAUUGGGAAGAACACCGGUGGCGAAGGCGCCUUUCUGGACUGUGUCUGACGCUCAGAUGCGAAAGCCAGGGUAGCGAACGGGAUUAGAUACCCCGGUAGUCCUGGCCGUAAACGAUGGGUACUAGGUGUGGGAGGUAUCGACUCCUUCCGUGCCGGAGUUAACGCAAUAAGUACCCCGCCUGGGGAGUACGGCCGCAAGGCUUAAACUCAAAGGAAUUGACGGGG
rnacentral:rRNA from 1 species